GCCCAACUGAUGAGAGCAGCCCAACACUUGGCUUUUUAGGGUUUCACCUCUUUCUCUCUCAUGAGUCCCUCACUCCCUCUCUUUCUCCUCCCCAUCAUUCACCUAUUUCUCUCAUUUCAAACUCAGGCCCUCUCAUUUCGAGGAGCAACGAGAAGACCUAUGUUCUGUUGGUUGUUGUUUUGGUGGUUAACUUGAGCAACGAUUGCGUUUAUCUUGAAAUGAGCAACUUGACCGGCUGCUUCAUACAAAAGCUCUCAAGCGGCGUCAUUUUUGGGCGGAGGUGUAACCGGCGGUGACGAAACUCUUGGUGAAGGUCCGUUUGGUCUACCGUUGCUCGAAAACCCACUGCGGUUCGACCAUUACAAACCCACCUCUCAUCUUCCUCUUUUCAAAAUGAUUUUCCCUAAAGACCUUACUACUCCUUCAAUGGUGGACAGAGAAUUUCGAUGAUGGGAUGGAUUUCCCUUACUUAGACCCGCCAUUGAUAUGCUACUUUGGAGCAGUUCAAAAGGAAUUUCUACCAAGUGUGAGAGUUCUAGAGCAUUAAAUGGACCCUGAUAUAUCUCAGGGUGGAAAAUGAUGCAAUGGAAUCCACCUGAAAUCGGGCGGGCUCGCGGUGGACCGGUGUUCAAUGUGGCGAUUUCGCACAUUCGGUUAGGAGGCAGGGCACCGGUUAUUGCUCAAGAAUUGGAUUCUGCAAAAUUUUCAGAAGUUAGAGAUGCUCUAGAUGAUAAAUGCUAGUCCCUUGUAAAUAUCAUUUUAGUCAUGUGAUACCAAUAUGCCAAUUUCUAAAAAAAAAUCCGAAGACUCUCAAACACUCAUAAUUUACGUAGAGGCUUUGUAACAAUGUGGGAUACAUUUAUUUACUUAUUUGAACUAAUUCUUUUGCAUGAUGCAAAAAUUGAAGGUUUAAAGUCCAGAAUUGAAUCAUUUGUGUUCACUGAUACAUAAAUUGAUAUGUUCCGGGAUGAGAUAGAAAAAGAAGAGGCCAGCAAGCUGCAAACAGAAGUUUUAGAUGUCACAAUCUCUGUGAACGAGUAUGAGGCUGCAAAUGUUCAUAAAUGUCAGCCUGCUGUUAGAACUGAGAGUGAUCCUGGUGAACAGAAUCUUCAGGAAGUUAACGAGAGAGAAGAAAGGGGUGACAAUGCUCUUGAUUGCUGCCGUUACUACUGGCCUGCUACUGUUUGUGCUUAUAAUGUAUUUCCUUACUAAAUUAUGUAAUCAAUAGCAUUUUGGACUUCUCAAUAGUAGAGUUUAUAAUUAGCAUAUAAAAUUGGAUUUGGUGUAUAUGUUAUGUUUGAUAAUAUGUUUGUGGCAUGAAAUAUUUGGGUUUGUUAUAAAUUAUUAUAAUAA